CGCAGAAGGUGGGGUUACGUGAUUCGGCGGCAACCGGUCUUUAGACGUUAGGGAGAGGUCGCCUUGAGGUUGAAUGUCGUUGCGGUGGACGAGAGAGUUCGAGCGACCCAGAAUUCAGGAAACCUGUAGCAGAGUCAGAUGCGGAGGUGAUUUGGGAUUGCGGCACCCUCUUUACCUGUGGCUCCAAAAGCUUCACGUUGGAAUUCUGCAGCUUUUGAAGAAAUAACUGGAAAGCAGCAGCCCCUACAUCUACAAACCGAUGAGGUCCGGCUUUAAGCAUGCACCAGUUCAUAAGACAGCUAUUGGUGAUUCAUUAAGCUUCAUAUGGAUAACUCAGUUUGCACAAAGCAGAAUAUUCUUGGCUUCAGAAACAUCGGCUGUGCAGACUCUCUCAGCCAGUGCUGCCACUGUCUUCAGUGCCCCUGGGCUAGGGACGGGUUAAAAACUGAGCUCGUAGUUACUGUUUUUGAUUGUAAACCAGUGAGUAAUGGCUACGUGCGUGCCCAUUCAUGCUUUAGCUCGACAACGAGGUAUUCCACAACCAUGCACUGCAUCCACACCUAUUGCCUCCACCAUCACCACCCAGUGGCUCAGUAACUUAUAGCCAGAUUGGACUUGGGUGCAAGAUGCCUUGUAGUUGAAUAGCCAGACUGCCACCAACUAAACCAGCCCGCGAUACGCCAGACUAACGGUUCUGGCUUCAGUCCCUAGUGCACGUGUUCUCCUCGGUGUCAUUGGGGUAACGCCAGAGCUGAACACCGUUAGACCAGCACUCACGCACAUUCACAGUGCAGCUCAGGUCACUGACCUGGAGUUGGACCGUAGCUGCUGUUCCCCCUCCCUCACACACUUGGCAUUGAGGCAAAUUCUACUCCUACCUCGACCCCAGCUCCAGCUGAGAUCAUUCAGACCUGACUGGAAAUUAAAUUGGGGGCAUAUACUAAUAUACAAAUUAGGAGCAGAAGUAGGCCAUUCAGCCCCUCGAGUCUGCUGUAGCAGUCAAUAAAAUCACUGGUGAUCUGAAUUCUCCGUAGUUCAGCCUACCCCCAAUAAUCUUGCACUCCCUUCUCUAUACCACCUCUGCCUUAAAAAGGUUCAAAGACUCUGCUUCCACCAUAUUUUGAGGAAGAGGAUUCAAAAGAUGCAUGACCCACUGUGAGAAAACAAAAUUCUCCUCAUCUCUGUUUUAAAGGAUCAACCCUUAUUUUGAAACCCCUGGAUUUAGAUUCUCCCACAGGAAGAAACAGCCUGUCCACAUCCACCCUGUCAAGACCCCACUAGGAUUUUUUACAUUUUCAAUCAAGUGGCCUCUUACUCUAAACUCCAGAGGGUAGUCCCUGCCCUUACUACCCUCAAGCUCCAUCCAUAGCUGCCUGUAUUGUUACCUAACAAGUCAUAUAGAGAAGCAUCCAUAAAGGGACAGUACAGUGCAAAUAGUAGUGCUUGGCAACAAAGCUUUUUCCUUGAUUUAUUUUCAUCGAAAUAUUUCAAGCCAGGGUAGAAGCAAUUCAUUCUCGAUCCUGAGAGACUGCCUGAUAAGAAAUAUAUUCCUGCCUAGCAAGUGAUGUAUGCGAAUUUUCGACAGGCAAAAUUAUAAGCAAUUGCCCAGGUUAAUGAAUGCAUGCUUCUGAUGUGUUGGGCUACCUGAUCUAAUGCAGAUUGGAAGCAAGGUGAGAGAAUUGGCCCCUCUGAGAUGGAGAACUUGAGAAAGUAUAACACAUGGAGGAUGAUUGCAGUGCAUUCAAAGUUAAGUAAUCGCCUAAGCCUCAUAGCAAGCAGGAUAGUCCAUUGGAAUGAUUUGCAUUUAUCUAGCACUUUUCGCACCCACCUAAUGCCUCAAAGCACUUUACAGCCAGCGAGGUACUUUGUGAAGUAAGGUAAAUCACUCUAGUCCCAGAGGACCAUAGAUCUUAUCUCUCAUUAGAGAGAGAGAGAGACGACUGGUGGUGGUUUGACCUAAGGGUCACCAUGCCUCAGGCAAAGGGGAGAGAUUGAGACUUCAUGGUAACCUCAGCCGGUGCAGUUGGAGUCAGUUGGCUGGUUUGCAAUGCAUCUGAUACCAACGGCAGAGUUUGCGCACUGCUAUCACUGCCAUAACAGCCAAUUUGCACACAGCAAGCUCCCACAAACUGGUGAUAACGAUCCAAUAAACUUGUUUGUGAUGUUAAUUGAGGGAUAAAUGUCAGCUGGGACGCCAGGGGAAGGAGAACACACUUGUUCUUCUUUGAAACUGUGCCAUGCAACGCUCCCUCUAAAUUUUCUUGCAGCUGCACGGAGCUCUGAGGGCAAUGCGUGGCUGCAGCUGCCAGAAAAAGCAGAAGCCAAUGCAUCAGAACACCAAUUGGCAAGUGUAGAGUUUCCCAGGAGUUGCAUGGCUGCACAGCUUAGAGCAGCAUUGGUGGCAUGGGAUCUUUCCACCAUAGAAGACAGAAGAGGCCUGGGUUUAACAUCUCACAAGGAAAGAAAUUGCAUCCCCAAUGACACAGCAUCUUAGUAAUAUGCUGAAGAAUCAGCCUUGAUUUUUUUAACACUUACAUCAUGAAGUGGGAUUUGAACUGAGAGCCCUGUGCCCUAUCAGGAUCGCUGUGCACUAAGGCACUGGAUAGAACUGGUACAAAUGAUCAAUUCCUGUAUCCAGAAGCUAUCAUCACCUUAAGGAUAAGAAGACUUUCACCUCACCACAAUGUCCGGAAGUUUAGAGUUCAUUCAAGCAUAUCAGAUAUUAAACUUGAUACUACAAAUUCUAAUCUAACAGAUAUUUGUUUAAAAUUAAAUAAACAUAAAGAACCU